rnacentral:rRNA from 1 species
GAUGAACGCUGGCGGCGUGCCUAAUACAUGCAAGUCGAGCGAACGGACGAGAAGCUUGCUUCUCUGAUGUUAGCGGCGGACGGGUGAGUAACACGUGGAUAACCUACCUAUAAGACUGGGAUAACUUCGGGAAACCGGAGCUAAUACCGGAUAAUAUUUUGAACCGCAUGGUUCAAAAGUGAAAGACGGUCUUGCUGUCACUUAUAGAUGGAUCCGCGCUGCAUUAGCUAGUUGGUAAGGUAACGGCUUACCAAGGCAACGAUGCAUAGCCGACCUGAGAGGGUGAUCGGCAACACUGGAACUGAGGCACGGUCCAGACUCCUAAGGGAGGCAGCAGUAGGGAAUCUUCCGCAAUGGGCGGAAGACUGACGGAGCAACGCCGCGUGAGUGAUGAAGGUCUUCGGAUCGUAAAACUCUGUUAUUAGGGAAGAACAUAUGUGUAAGUAACUGUGCACAUCUUGACGGUACCUAAUCAGAAAGCCACGGCUAACUACGUG